rnacentral:rRNA from 1 species
CGGCCGCGUCGACGUGAAUUGCGUAGAGAUCUGGAGGAACCACCGGUGGACGAAAGCGGCUCUCUGGUCUGUAACUGACGCUGAGGCUACGAAAGCGGUGGGGAGACAAACGAGGUAUUAGACUACCCUGGUACGUCCACGACCGUAAACUAUGAGUGCGUAGGUUGGUUCGGUUCCGUUUCCGGGACUCAGUCGCCGCAGACUAACGCUAAUUAAGCACUCCCGCCGUGGGGAGUACCGACCGACGUAGGUUAGAACUACGAAAGGUAUUGGACGGGGCCCGCACAAGCGGUGGAGCAUGUG